rnacentral:lncRNA from 1 species
UUCCUGGAGAUUGCUCCUUGUGGAGAUUUUGAAGCCUAUGACACUGUGUUGUGUCAGCAACUGGGUAUCUUUUUCAGAGGCACAAUGAAUUUUGCAUAAUGUUAAUGAGAGGAAGUUUCAUAGUUCUGUCAUGGAAGUACAAGGUACUACAAUCACCCCCUUGCUUUGUAUGGGCAGAAUCAGACCAGAUGAGGGACAAAAUAAGUGAAAAGAAGACUUCUUCCAGUUUCAAACUCUACAAACAACAGAGGAUCUAUCGCUGAGUCACAGAAGUGUGAGGGAGCAAGGAGACAUCCUUCAUGAAUGGAAUGAAGCUCUGUAACUAAUUUUGAAUACUACCUGGAUUUCCUCUAAUUUGAGGACUUGGCACAAGAUAAUUGAUUUGUUUUCUAAAUUUUGGAAAAAAAAAAAUCAGGAAAGAAGACCUGUGAAAAUGCAUGGUGAGAUGUUGAAUAGAUGUGUUAUCACUUACGGUUCCUAGUGUGCCAAAAAUCCCCUAAUAAAACCCAAAUGCAAACGUGGUGCUAAGCAGGAAAAAAAAGUAGGUAGAUAAGCAGGGUUAAGAGGCAAAGGAAGAAGCAAAUAUUACCAUGUUAUGGAGGCUACUCUUGUCUAUUCAUCCUUGUGCUAUACAUAUAUUUGUAUGGUAAAAACAAAACACAAAGAAAGCCUCUUCAAAUAUAUAUAUUAUGAGGAAUAAGAACCCUAUAUAUACUUGAGAGACAUGAAAUUGUUUGCCUUUAAAUUAUCCAGAUGCCUUUAAAAACCUCUCUUGUCCUUAAUAUUCCUUUCUCAAGCUUCUCUUUAAUUCACCCAGUUCCAACUCCUUGCCUUUUAAGAAAUGGAAGUGGAUGGCACUUCUGCUGUAUCUGUCUGAAAAGAAAACUAUGCGGGAAGCAGAAUCAAAGUAUGCCAUUCAGUUUACCUAUGAAUACCUAUGCCAGAGCGGGGGUUAAUGUAAGUGUAGAAUGUUAUACAACAUGAAAUGCAGAGUGCACUGCACAAUCAUGGUAUAGCAGGUAGCUAUGAGUAAAGCAGAU